rnacentral:rRNA from 1 species
UACGGAGGGGGCAAGCGUUAUUCGGAAUUAUUGGGCGUAAAGGGCGCGUAGGCGGCUAGAUGUGUCAAAGGUGAAAUCCCUCGGCUCAACUGAGGAACUGCCUUUGAAACUGUCUGGCUUGAGGCCGGGAGAGGGUAGCGGAAUUCCAGGUGUAGCGGUGAAAUGCGUAGAUAUCUGGAGGAACACCGGUGGCGAAGGCGGCAUCCUGGACCGGCAUUGACGCUGAGGCGCGAAAGCCAGGGGAGCAAACGGG